AUACAGAGAGUGCAAACGUUGUUCGGAAUUACUGGGCUUAAAGCGCACGUAGGCGGCAUUGUUAGUGUUGGGUGAAAUCCCACGGCUCACCCGUGGAACUGCCCAGCAAACUGCAGUGCUAGAGUAUGGUAGGGGAGGGCGGAACUCAUGGUGGAGCGGUGAAAUGCGUAGAUAUCAUGAGGAACACCGGUGGCGAAGGCGGCUCUCUGGUCCAUAACUGACGCUGAGGUGCGAAAGCUAGGGUAGCGAACGGGAUUAGAAACCCUAGUAGUCC
rnacentral:rRNA from 1 species